CCGACCUUAGCUCAGUUGGUAGAGCGGAGGACUGUAGUUGGAAUUUCAUUCCUAAAAGCCAUCCUUAGGUCGCUGGUUCGAAUCCGGCAGGUCGGA
rnacentral:tRNA from 1 species